CCCUUAGAUGUCCUGGGCCGCACGCGCGCUACACUGAACGGAUCAGCGCGUUUUCCCUUCCCGAGAGGGACGGGUAACCUGCUGAACCCCGUUCGUGGUAGGGAUCGGGGCUUGCAAUUAUUCCCCGUGAACCAGGAAUGCCCAGUAAGUGCAAGUCAUAAGCUUGCGUUGAUUACGUCCCUGCCCUUUGUACACACCGCCCGUCGCUGCCCGGAACUGAGCCAUUUCGAGAAAAAUGGGGACAGACUGCUUGUGGGUGCGCAAGCACUUCUUGCAGAUUGAAACCAUCUUGAUCGGUAUGGCUUGAACCGGGCAAAAGUCGUAACA
rnacentral:rRNA from 1 species